UGGUCGUCCGAAGAAUCGUUGUCGCAGCUCCCACACAGAGUCGCUUCUAGCACUCUUAUUCUGCUGUGGGGAAAGUCCCCGGAGAUUCUCAGAGUGUAUCCUCGCACCACUAGUCUGGAAAACUGUCGGCUCCAAGUGCGUCGGUUUUGGUCGAGGAUGGCCUUGGUUCCGUGUUCACGUCUUGCGACAUGUUGCUCGAAUUCUGGCCGCUCUGAUGCUCCGCCCACGACUUGUUUUGGUGGCAACGGCUCCGCGUGCGAAGAUAUGAGCAUGCGUUCAGCUCGCUAAGCUAGUAGUGGUCGUGCAAUCCGUUGCUCAUAGGCACAGUUAUACGAUUGUUGAUCUACUUGUAGAUCUCCAACACAAUGGGGCUCACUCUCGGUCGGCC
rnacentral:RNase_MRP_RNA from 2 species